GCCGGGCGUGGUGGUGCAUGCCUGUAAUCCCAGCUACUCAGGAGGCUGAGGCAGGAGAAUUGCUUGAACCCAGGAGGCGGAAGUUGCAGUGAGCCGAGAUCUGGCCAUUGCACUCCAGCCUGGGUAACAGAGCAAGGCUCCGUCUCAA
ensembl:misc_RNA Metazoa_SRP Metazoan signal recognition particle RNA